UACGGAGGGUGCAAGCGUUAAUCGGAAUUACUGGGCGUAAAGGGCGCGUAGGUGGUAUCUUAAGUUGGGUGUGAAAUCCCCGGGCUCAACCUGGGAAUUGCAUCCAAAACUGGGGUGCUAGAGUAUGGUAGAGGGUAGCGGAAUUUCUGGUGUAGCGGUGAAAUGCGUAGAUAUCAGAAGGAACAUCAAUGGCGAAGGCAGCUACCUGGGCCAAUACUGACGCUGAGGCGCGAAAGCAUGGGGAGCAAACAGG
rnacentral:rRNA from 1 species